rnacentral:lncRNA from 1 species
CCUGCGCCCCGACGCCGCCGUCCUGUGCGGCUUCGCCCCCUACACCCUCCCGGCCGCCCGCGACCUCCGGCGCCUCCUCCGACGCCUCAGCCCCCCCGGGGGUGCCCUGCGCUGGGACCCCCCCGAGACGGCGCCGGAGCUGCGGUCGGACGGAGGGACCCUCCGCUGCCAGCCCACCCGGGAGCUCCGUGGCACCCACCCCCUCGGUCUGGAGGCGCCAGGUUUGUGGGAUGAUGAUGAUGGUGAGGAGGAGGAGGUUGAAGAGGUUGAUGAUGAUGAGGGGUGCGGGGGGGGGGGGGAUGACAUGGCAUCAACCCGCGGGGACCCCCAUGGCCCAUCCAGUCACAGUGUCACCCAUCGGGGACCCCCAUGGCCCAUCUCAACACCCCCUUUGCCCAACAGGGACCCCACAACCCAUCUAGUCAUGGUGUCACCCAUCAGGGACCCCCAUUGCCCAUCCUGGCACCCCUUUGCCCAACAGGGACCCCCAUGGCCCAUCCAGUCAUGGUGUCACCCAUCGGGGACCCCCAUUGCCCAUCAGGACCCCCAUGGCCCAUCCCAACACCCCAUUGCCCAUUGGGGACGCCCAUUGCCCCUCGGGGCACCCCAUGGACUAUCUAAGCACCCCAUUCCCAGUUGGGGCACCCCAUUCCCAGUCAGGGCACCCCAUUGUGGCACCCCAUUCCUGGUUGGGUUACCCCAUUCCCCAUUGAGGCACCCCACUGGGGCACCCCAUUCCACACCGGGGCAUGAUAUUCCCCGUCAGGGCACCCCACUGCUGAUCUGGGCACCCCAUUCCCCUUUAGGGCACCCCAUUGUCACUCAGGGCACCCCAUUUCCCAUCAAGGCUUCCCAGUUGGGGCGCCCCAUUUCCCAUUGCGAUGCCCCAUUCCCAGUUGGGACACCCCAUUGGGGCACCCCAUUUCCCAUUGGGGCACUCCAUUCCCACUUGCGGCCCAAUAUUCCCCAUUGGGGCACCCCAUUCCCAGUUGGGGCACCCCAUUUCCCAUUGGGGUUCCCCGUUCCCUACUGGGGCACCCCCUUGUCAAUCAGGGCACCGCAUUUCCCAUUGAGGCUUCCCAGUCAGGGCUCCCCAUUUCCCAGUGAGGCAUGGCAUGGUCGGGGCACCCCAUUCCCAGUCAGAGCACCCCAUUCCCAGUGGGGCACCCCGUUAUCAAUCAGAGCACCCCAUUCCCUGUCAGAGCACCCCAUUCCCGGUGGGGCACCCCCUCACCGCUCUGUGCACCGCCGCUGGGGGGUCAGGGUGUUGCUGCCAGCACCCGGUGCCCCCCCUGUGCCCCCCAUUCCUGACCCCCCGUGCCCCCAGCGGCGCUGUACGGGUUGGGGGUGUACUUCUCUGCGCAGGCGCGGCUCUCGGCCCAGGACCGGUACUCGCCCCCCAGCCCCCAGGGCCACAAGUUCAUCUUCGUGGCCAGCGUGCUGACGGGGGCCUUCGCCGCGGGGGGGCAGGGGCUGCGGGCCCCCCCCAUGCGGGAAGAGGGGGGGGGCGG